GAAUUCAACUCCUACGGGAGGCAGCAGUGGGGAAUAUUGCACAAUGGGCGCAAGCCUGAUGCAGCGACGCCGCGUGGGGGAUGACGGCCUUCGGGUUGUAAACUCCUUUCGUUAGGGACGAAGCCGCACUUUUUUUGGGUGUGGUGACGGUACCUUUGUUAAGAAGCACCGGCUAACUACGUGCCAGCAGCCGCGGUAAUACGUAGGGUGCGAGCGUUGUCCGGAAUUACUGGGCGUAAAGAGCUCGUAGGUGGUUUGUUGCGUCGUCUGUGAAAUUCCGGGGCUUAACUUCGGGGUGGCAGGCGAUACGGGCAUAACUAGAGUGCUGUAGGGGAGACUGGAAUUCCUGGUGUAGCGGUGGAAUGCGCAGAUAUCAGGAGGAACACCGAUGGCGAAGGCAGGUCUCUGGGCAGUAACUGACGCUGAGGAGCGAAAGCAUGGGGAGCGAACAGGAUUAGAAACCCCAGUAGUCCAGGCGUU
rnacentral:rRNA from 1 species